AUGGGCGAANNCCUGAUGCAGCAACGCCGCGUGCGGGAAUGACGGCCUUCGGGUUGUAAACCGCUUUCAGCUCCGACGAAGCGCAAGUGACGGUAGGAGCAGAAGAAGGACCGGCCAACUACGUGCCAGCAGCCGCGGUGAUACGUAGGGUCCGAGCGUUGUCCGGAAUUAUUGGGCGUAAAGGGCUUGUAGGCGGUUUGUCACGUCGGAAGUGAAAACUCAGGGCUUAACCCUGAGCCUGCUUCCGAUACGGGCAAACUAGAGGAAUGCAGGGGAGAAUGGAAUUCCUGGUGGAGCGGUGGAAUGCGCAGAUAUCAGGAGGAACACCAGUGGCGAAGGCGGUUCUCUGGGCAUUUCCUGACGCUGAGAAGCGAAAGCGUGGGGAGCAAACAGGCUUAGAUACCCUGGUAGUCCACGCCGUAAACGGUGGGCACUAGGUGUGGGACUCAUUCCACGAGUUCCGUGCCGUAGCUAACGCAUUAAGUGCCCCGCCUGGGGAGUACGGCCGCAAGGCUAAAACUCAAAGGAAUUGACGGGGGCCCGCACAAGCGGCGGAGCAUGCGGAUUAAUUCGAUGCAACGCGAAGAACCUUACCUGGGUUUGACAUAUGCCGGAAAGCUGCAGAGAUGUAGCCCCCGCAAGGUCGGUAUACAGGUGGUGCAUGGCUGUCGUCAGCUCGUGUCGUGAGAUGUUGGGUUAAGUCCCGCAACGAGCGCAACCCUCGUCCUAUGUUGCCAGCGGAUAAUGCCGGGGACUCAUAGGAGACUGCCGGGGUCAACUCGGAGGAAGGUGGGGAUGACGUCAAGUCAUCAUGCCCCUUAAGUCCAGGGCUUCACGCAUGCUACAAUGGCUGGUACAAAAGGCUGCAAUACCGCAAGGNUUGAGCGAAUCCCAAAAAAGCCAGUCUCAGUUCGGAUUGGGGUCUGCAACUCGACCCCAUGAAGUC
rnacentral:rRNA from 1 species